UACAGAGGGUGCAAGCGUUGUUCGGAAUUAUUGGGCGUAAAGGGCGCGUAGGCGGUUCGGCAAGUCUCUAGUGAAAUCUCUGGGCUCAACUCAGAGUCUGCUGGGGAAACUGCCGGGCUUGAGUGUGGGAGAGGAGAGUGGAAUUCCCGGUGUAGCGGUGAAAUGCGUAGAGAUCGGGAGGAACAUCAGUGGCGAAGGCGGCCAUCUGGGACAACACUGACGCUGAAGCACGAAAGCGUGGGGAGCAAACAGG
rnacentral:rRNA from 1 species